rnacentral:lncRNA from 7 species
AGGAUGUGGCAUGGGACCGUGUCAAAAAUCCAUCUCAUAGCUUGCAGAAUUUGGAAGGCCGUGUCUUUCUAGAGCUGUCCAUCAUCCAGACUAACCUCUUAUUACAGAGAUGUGUGAAUCUAUAUAAGAAGUUUAAGAUAAAUAUUAAUGUGAUAAAUUCUUUGUUCUUCAUUGAGUAUGUGGCUAACUUAGUCUUUAUUUUCAGAACUUUGGAGCUCUUAGGGAAGUACUGUACAUUUUGAAUGGUGCUCAAGGGUCUGAAUGUGUUCAGCAUCAUUUGAAAUAAAUUAGUGGGAUCUGGAACACUGAGCUUCAGAAUGGGAGUCUCCCAAAGCCCUGAAUUAUGAAUUAUGAACCCAGCAUUAGCACCCCCUCCAGCAUUUGUCAGCUCUUAGACUCGCAGCGAUCUUCCAGCCUAUCAGACCUUAUGGAUCCCAGAAGGUGAACCUAUAAUCAAGUCUUUACUGGGGGCUUCUUGGCAAGGCUAUCUCCAGCCACUGUUCCUGGCCUCAUAUAAGGUGUUCUAGAAAGGGGUUCCUCCAGCCGUGCAUCAGGACAAGGAACCAAGUGCUCCAGAGAGCCAAGUGAAUUGUUACCUGUCACAGCAUCCCCAUGUUCAUCUCUUAAUACUUGUGGGUGUGAUACAAACCACCUAAAAGAGAUUCACUGCCUCUUUUACAGCCCAGACUAGACAGUUUCCUGUGUUCCAUCAGUGCAGUUCUACUGCUGCACAUUUUGGUUUGGCUGAUUUUCUCCUGAGUUAGCCAGAAAAGCUGUAAUUUUGAGAAGGACACAGUGUCACUGUAGACAGUAAGCUGAAGAGUCGGAUGCUAUUUGAAGACAAAUGUAACACUUGGGAGACUUAAACAAUCACAAGGAAUUGAGGAAGAACUGUUUCUUCAUAUUUUUGUGACUUUACUGGAAAGUCAUGUGUCAAUAUAUGUUGAAAAGGAUGUUAAAAAUAAGAAAGGUGUACAUAAAAAGAAUUCUGAAACAAACAAAAAAAAGUUAGUGAAAAUACAUCAAGGGCAAGACACAAGAGAAGCUCUAUCUAUUGACUCAGUUUAGACGGAGAAGUCACCUGACUGCAGGUACCUACAGUAAUCAAGAAAAAAAAAUCUAAUGAGCAGCAAUUUGAAAUACAGCAUUUGGAAAGGUCAAAAUGGUACAUUACAUCCCUAUUAUCCAAAAGAACAGAUGAGUUUAAUAUCCUGACAGCAUUUUCCUGUGAAGAAGAUAUUAAACAAGAACUGAAAAUGGCACAAGGUUCCCUCUUCCUUUCUUUUGACAAAGACUGUAACAAGAUGAUGAAAUUGUACAGAAUAAAUCUCAUCCUGCUUUAAUGUUCAGAUUGGGGAUCCUGCCUAGAUUUCAAAAAUCUAAGCUAAUAAAAGAGAC